GGGGCACCACCGCGGGAGGCACUGAUGGUGUCACUGAGAAGGCCACCAGUUGCAUCGUUGAAGAAGGUGCAGGGAUAGCCUGAGCAGGUUGCGAUGCCACCGGGGGAGGCACCAGAACAGUUUGGAUCGCCUAAAUGAUGGCCGUCAAGUUUUGGACCUGCUGGAAGAGUAGGUUGAAUUGAUCCAUCGUGACCAGUAUUGGCUCGGUUGGUGGGGGAGUCUCAAUCACCGAUUGUUGUGUCUGACUAUUGGCUUGGCUUUCCAUCCGAUGGAAGGCGAUGGCGUUGGAGAGCCAAGAUGAUCUUUAUUUUGAAGGCAUAGUGAAGAUUACACCCUUUCUCUAUCUGUUGCUGCUCGAUUCAAUUGAGAUCGG
rnacentral:lncRNA from 1 species